rnacentral:misc_RNA from 1 species
AUGCGAUAAGUAAUGUGAAUUGCAGAAUUCAGUGAAUCAUCGAAUCUUUGAACGCACCUUGCGCCCUUUGGUAUUCCGAAGGGCAUGCCUGUUUGAGUGUCAUGAAACCUCACCCCACUUGGGUUUUUGCCUGAGCGGUGGUGUAUUGGGUGUUGCCUUGCCAAAGGCUCGCCUUAAAAACAUAAGCACCUUGGAUGUAAUACGUUUCAUCCUUCUGGGUGGCUGAUAACCCCACAUAUUCAUGAUCUGGCCUCAAAUCAGGUAGGGCUACCCGCUGAACUUAA